UACAGAGGGUGCGAGCGUUGUCCGGAUUUAUUGGGCGUAAAGAGCUCGUAGGCGGCUUGUCGCGUCGAAUGUGAAAACUCGGGGCUCAACUCCGAGCUUGCAUUCGAUACGGGCAGGCUAGAGUUCGGUAGGGGAGACUGGAAUUCCUGGUGUAGCGGUGAAAUGCGCAGAUAUCAGGAGGAACACCGGUGGCGAAGGCGGUUCUCUGGGCAUUACCUGACGCUGAGGAGCGAAAGUGUGGGGAGCGAACAGG
rnacentral:rRNA from 1 species